AUACACCGCCUCGUGCGCCGU
rnacentral:siRNA from 1 species